GGUAAGGUCAACUAUCAAUAGAGGAGCAAGAAUGAAUCUUCCCACAUGACAGUUAUUCUUUUUAUUUCAAUUUAUGGCAUAAAAAUGGAGUACAAGCUUAUUUUCUUUUCCAUCAAGAUCUGGGGGAGGAGCAACAUCGCUGAAACAACGUUGCAAAUAUCUUGCAAAACUCAUCUGGAAAGGCAUCACAACACAGAAUGAAACUUCUUUACACCUCCCAGGGCACGUUUCUGUGAUUUGUUUUAAACAGAAUGGCAGUUCUGUCUUCAAUCACAUAUAAACCCAGUGUGACAUAUCUGCUAGGGCAGAAUCCAUUGAGGAACUAAGAGGCAGAAGGACAAACACAAAAAAAUUCCACUCAAUCUUAUUAAAAGCCUUUUCUACAUCAACGGUAACAAGAAAAAUUGAUGCCCUUUUGAUAAGGUGAUAUGAAUUAUUUUAAGUAUACUUGGACUUUCGAUCUUUUCCCAUCCUUACUGAAUAUAGUUUGAUCCAGACAUAAACA